AAGUCCGCAACGAGCGCAACCCUCGACCUUAGUUGCCAGCAUUCAGUUGGGCACUCUAAGGUGACUGCCGGCUAAAAAGUCGGAGGAAGGUGGGGAAUGACGUCAAAUCAUCAUGCCCCUUAUGACCUGGGCUACACACGUGCUACAAUGGGCGGUACAAAGGGUCGCGAACCCGCGAGGGGGAGCCAAUCCCAAAAAGCCGCUCUCAGUUCGGAUUGCAGGCUGCAACUCGCCUGCAUGAAGCCGGAAUCGCUAGUAAUCGCGGAUCAGCAUGCCGCGGUGAAUACGUUCCCGGGCCUU
rnacentral:rRNA from 1 species